rnacentral:rRNA from 1 species
UACGAAGGAUGCAAGCGUUAUCCGGAUUCAUUGGGUUUAAAGGGAGCGUAGGCGGCCCUGUAAGUCAGUGGUGAAAUCUUUGGGCUUAACCCAAAAAUUGCCAUUGAUACUGCAGGGCUUGAGUACAGUUGCUGUGGGCGGAAUAUGACAUGUAGUGGUGAAAUACAUAGAGAUGUCAUAGAACACCGAUUGCGAAGGCAGCUCACAAAACUGUAACUGACGCUGAGGCUCGAAAGUGCGGGGAUCAAACAGG